GUUUUCUCAGCUGGCUGAGGCACAGAGCCAUGGAACCAAGGCAGGACAGCCUUGAGACUGAAAGUGGGACAAGAUGUGGAGUGAAAUGCAGACUCUGACAAGCCACA